rnacentral:rRNA from 1 species
CCCCUUCGGGGGACGAGGGUGACAGGUGGUGCAUGGUUGUCGUCAGCUCGUGUCGUGAGAUGUUGGGUUAAGUCCCGCAACGAGCGCAACCCUCGACCUUAGUUGCCAGCAUUCAGUUGGGCACUCUAAGGUGACUGCCGGCUAAAAGUCGGAGGAAGGUGGGGAUGACGUCAAAUCAUCAUGCCCCUUAUGACCUGGGCUACACACGUGCUACAAUGGGCGGUACAAAGGGUCGCGAACCCGCGAGGGGGAGCCAAUCCCAAAAAGCCGCUCUCAGUUCGGAUUGCAGGCUGCAACUCGCCUGCAUGAAGCCGGAAUCGCUAGUAAUCGCGGAUCAGCAUGCCGCGGUGAAUACGUUCCCGGGCCUU